AUUGAACGCUGGCGGUAGGCCUAACACAUGCAAGUCGAACGGCAGCACAGUAAGAGCUUGCUCUUACCGGUGGCGAGUGGCGGGCGGGUGAGGAAUACAUCGGAAUCUGCUUUUUCGUGGGGGAUACCGUAGGGGAACUUACGCUAAUACCGCAUACGACCUACGGGUGAACGCAGGGGAUCUUCGGACCUUUCGCGAUUGCAUGAGCCGAUGUCGGAUUAGCUAGUUGGCGGGGUAAAGGCCCACCAAGGCGACGAUCCGUAGCUGGUCUGAGAGGAUGAUCAGCCACACUGGAACUGAGACACGGUCCAGACUCCUACGGGAGGCAGCAGUGGGGAAUAUUGGACAAUGGGCGCAAGCCUGAUCCAGCCAUACCGCGUGGGUGAAGAAGGCCUUCGGGUUGUAAAGCCCUUUUGUUGGGAAAGAAAAGCAGCAGGUUAAUACCCCGCUGUUCUGACGGUACCCAAAGAAUAAGCACCGGCUAACUUCGUG
rnacentral:rRNA from 1 species